rnacentral:rRNA from 1 species
AGACCCCGCAAGGGGUUUGUAGCGUGGCAAACGGGUGAGUAACGCGUGGGCGACCUACCUCAGAGUGGGGGAUAACCUUCCGAAAGGAGGGCUAAUACCGCAUGACAUCCCGUGUUUGGAUACACGGACAUCAAAGCCGGGGAUCGCAAGACCUGGCGCUUGGAGAGGGGCCCGCGUCCGAUUAGCUAGUUGGUGGGGUAAUGGCUCACCAAGGCUCCGAUCGGUAUCCGGCCUGAGAGGGCGGACGGACACACUGGGACUGAGACACGGCCCAGACUCCUACGGGAGGCAGCAGUGGGGAAUUGUUCGCAAUGGGCGCAAGCCUGACGACGCAACGCCGCGUGGAGGAUGAAGACCUUCGGG